CGGAACACGUACGCAACCUUCCUUCAAGUGGGGGAUAGCCCAGGGAAACUUGGAUUAAUACCCCGUAAUAUUAUGAGGUGGCAUCAUCUUAUAAUUAUAGCUACGGCGCUUGGAGAUGGGCGUGCGGCUGAUUAGGUAGUUGGCGGGGUAACAGCCCACCAAGCCUGCGAUCAGUAACUGGUGUGAGAGCACGACCAGUCACACGGGCACUGAGACACGGGCCCG
rnacentral:rRNA from 1 species